AUUGAACGCUGGCGGCAUGCUUUACACAUGCAAGUCGAACGGUAACAGGUUAAGCUGACGAGUGGCGAACGGGUGAGUAAUGCAUCGGAACGUGCCCGGUCGUGGGGGAUAACGCAGCGAAAGCUGCGCUAAUACCGCAUACGAUCUGAGGAUGAAAGCGGGGGACCGUAAGGCCUCGCGCGAUCGGAGCGGCCGAUGUCAGAUUAGGUAGUUGGUGGGGUAAAGGCUCACCAAGCCAACGAUCUGUAGCUGGUCGGAGAGGACGACCAGCCACACGGGGACUGAGACACGGCCCAGACUCCUAGGGGAGGCAGCAGUGGGGAAUUUUGGACAAUGGGCGAAAGCCUGAUCAAGCAAUGCCGCGUGCAGGAAGAAGGCCUUCGGGUUGUAAACUGCUUUUGUACGGAGCGAAAAGGUCUCCUCUAAUACAGGGGGCUCAUGACGGUACCGUAAGAAUAAGCACCGGCUAACUACGUGCCAGCCGCCGCAGUAA
rnacentral:rRNA from 1 species